rnacentral:rRNA from 1 species
AGUGAACGCUGGCGGUAGGCCUAACACAUGCAAGUCGAACGGCAGCACAGUAAGAGCUUGCUCUUACGGGUGUCGAGUGGCGGACGGGUGCGGAAUACAUCGGAAUCUACUUUUUCGUGGGGGAUAACGUAGGGAAACUUACGCUAAUACCGCAUACGACCUACGGGUGAAAGCAGGGGAUCUUCGGACCUUGCGCGAUUGAAUGAGCCGAUGUCGGAGUAGCUAGUUGGCGGGGUAAAGGCGCACCAAGGCGACGAUCCGUAGCUGGUCUGAGAGGAUGAUCAGCCACCCUGGAACUGAGACACGGCCCAGACUCCUACGGGGGGCCGCAGUGGGGACUAUUGCACAAUGGGGCCAAGCCUGAUCCAGCCAUACCGCGUGAGUCAUGAAGGCCUUCGGGUUGUAAAGCCCUUUUGUUGGGAAAGAAAAGCAGCAGGUUAAUCCCCCGCUGUUAUGACGGUACCCAAAGAAUAAGCACCGGCUAACUUCGUG